ACCCGUGUGGCACAGAGGAUAGCGCGUUGGGCUUCUAACUCAAAGGUCGUGGGUGCAGUCCCCACCAGGGGUG
rnacentral:tRNA from 1 species